AAAAGAACUUCUCAUAUCAUUCAUGUGGUUUCACUUUCUUACUUUAUUAUACUGUGGUUUAAAUUGUAUUAAUUUAAUGCCAUGUGGUUUCAUUUUUAUCUUUUUAUUAUUGAUUUUACUAUUUUUUUUUUAUUAAAUCAGUGACAAAGUUAAAACUAAAGGGUAGUAAAGUAAAUAUUCAAUAAACUUAGAUGGGGUAUCUGAAUCUUAUGUACGAAAAUAAACUGGAUAUUUUUUCAAUUAUACAUUUUCAAUUCUAAAGAUCUGUCUAUUUGUUCAUAACUAAAUUUUAAGUGAAAGUGAUUUUCGACUGAACC
rnacentral:lncRNA from 1 species